rnacentral:rRNA from 1 species
UGGGGAAUAUUGCGCAAUGGGGGAAACCCUGACGCAGCGACGCCGCGUGUGGGAUGAAGGUCUUCGGAUUGUAAACCACUGUCGCGAGGGACGAAGCUCUGACGGUACCUCGAAAGGAAGCACCGGCUAACUCUGUGCCAGCAGCCGCGGUAAUACAGAGGGUGCGAGCGUUGUCCGGAAUCACUGGGCGUAAAGGGCGCGUAGGCGGCCCGGUAAGUAGGGGGUGAAAUCUCAUGGCUCAACUGUGAGGCUGCCUUCUAGACUGCCAGGCUUGAGCACAGUAGAGGCGAGUGGAAUUCCCGGUGUUGCGGUGGAAUGCGUAGAGAUCGGGAAGAACAUCGGUGGCGAAGGCGGCUCGCUGGGCUGUUGCUGACGCUGAGGCGCGAAAGCGUGGGGAGCAAACAGGAUUAGAUACCCCGGUAGUCCCUGAGCGGGCUGGCAAGGCGCAU